rnacentral:tRNA from 1 species
GCUACGGUAGCUUAAAUUAUAAAAAGUUCAAUAUUCUUAAUAUUGUGAUGACAUACUUUGUUUCGUGGCA